rnacentral:piRNA from 1 species
UGUACAAGACUAGCCCUCUUACAGCAAAGC